GAUGAACGCUGGCGGCGUGCUUAAUACAUGCAAGUCGAGCGAACAGACGAGGAGCUUGCUCCUCUGACGUUAGCGGAGGACGGGUGAGUAACAUGUGGAUAACGUACCUAUAAGAGUGGGAUAACUUCGGGAAACCGGAGAUAAUACGGGAUAAUAUAUUGAAGCGCAUGGUUGAAUAGUGAAAGACGGUUUUGCUGUCACUUAUAGAUGGAUACGCGCUGCAUUAGCUAGUUGGUAAGGUAACGGCUUACCAAGGGAACUAUGCGUAGCCGACCUGAGAGGCGGAUCGGCCACACGAGAACUGGAACGCGGUCCAUGCUACUACGGUAGGCACCAGUAUGGUAUCGUCCGCAAUGGGCGAAAGCCUGACGGAGCAGCGCCGCGUGAGUUAUGAAGGUCUUCGGAUCGUAAAACCCUGUUAUUAGGGAAGAACAAAUUUCUAAUUAACUAUGCACUUCUUGACGGUACCUAAUCAGAAAGCCACGGCUAACUACGUG
rnacentral:rRNA from 1 species